UUGCGCCAUCCAUGGUCGCCGCCGCCGUCAUGGCCCCCUCCUCCUACUCCCGGUAUUUUUCGGGACGACGGCGGCGGCCUCACCAUGAUCGUUUCCAUCGGAGACGGUGAUUUCGCCACAACUCACAUCUCAAAGGAUCGUGUCGCCACAACCACUUUCACCUCAUCUCGUCCCAUUCAUGCCGAUCUCUCAGAACACGCAACCAACCUGUUAAACAUGUUCCCUAUCCACCAUGGGAAACUAAUGAGCCAUAGAGAGUUCUCGGAGACCUUGGAGAGCCCAGAUUUCCUGCCGUUUCUCAAGUUCCAACUCCUUGCUAUCAUCCACGGGGUUUAUCUCAAGGCUAUUGCUAUGUUACCGGUUCAUGCUCUACGCGACGGCCACCUGCUCCACUCGCUGAUAACAGCCGGUCACUGCUACGGACCGUUAGACCCUGUAUCCAAUAUUGUCAUUAACACAAUCUGGUAUGAUGCUGUCUUCCCGCUCUCCAAGGAUGUCGCUUUCAUGGUUGGAGCAGCGGAUAUUCUCGACACCGACUCCAUGCACCGUGUUGAAUCCCGUUCAAUCGACGGCUUGGUUGCCUACCUCUGCAGAUUCCCCUCAACAAAUGAGCAAGAUGCCGUGGCACUGCUCUGCAAAAAUCGCUUGGACACCCCAAUCUUUGACCUAUCCAAUAUGUGUGAUGUGGCACUGGCUGCGAAACACCCCCAGCCUGCUGCCUUGGGAGCAUUCCUUGAACGCGCGCCCAUUCGACAGUUAUACGACAUGUACUGCAUUUCUAGGGUCCACGGAAAUCCGGAUUCUGCUUUUGAGGGGCUAAAGAUGGCUCUACUCCAGGAAACAACCCGUGUUGCAGCACCAGUGCAACGAUGUGCUCAUGAUAUGGAUAAAUCAGCUGCUUUCGAGCAGUUAAACAAUAACAUGCCAAGCCAAAAAACAGCAUUGGCAUCACUGUCCGAAAAGAGGCUUUCAUUCAGGUCUCGGCAAGCUAAUUAUCGCAGAGUGUUGGAAGAUUUGUUGAUUGAAUAUGGCUACAGUGACCCCCUGGUAUGUACAUACUUCUGUCUUGUCCAUUUAAUUACUGCAGCUAUGUAUUUCCAAUGUGAACUGAGGAGGACUAUAUGCAUUUACUUUGUUAUUUAG
rnacentral:rRNA from 1 species